rnacentral:misc_RNA from 1 species
AUGGCUAAGCAAGCUGCCUUAGCAUUGGUCAAGCGAACUUUGGAUCGAUGCAUAGAGUUUGAGGAGACAGGAAAAAGCUGCUUCAGGGAGCCCUUGUAUAAGGAUAUGUUCCUUUCUGCUAUAUCCCGCCUUAGUGAUGGACAAACAGAUUCCUACACUGACAGUGAAGCUGCAAAAUCUUAUUUUAGCCCACAGCAGAGCCCAUCUCUAAACCAGGACAUACUUUAUGAAGCCAAUUUAUAUUCUGAAGCAAGUAGAGUCAAGCGGAGGGAGUUGGAAGAUGUCCUUGGUACUAGCAUUGCUGCUUCCUCUGGUGCUCUGUCAGGUGUUGGAUGUUCACUUUCAAGCAGUGCAAAAGGGAAGAGAAGUGAGAGGGACCGAGAAGGAAAAGGAAAUGGCAGAGAGGCAUCAUCUCGUGGUGGAUCAAUAAAGAUUGGUCGACCUGCCUCUUCCAGUGUUAAGGGAGAAAGAAAGCCUAAAACAAAAUCUAAGCUGAAAACUACUCAAUUAUCCACUUCCGUCAAUGGCCUUCUGGGCAAGAUGUCAGGGCAACCUAAAGCAGCAGCGUCUUCAAUAGUGAAUUCAAGUGAUAUCAGUGCCAGUGGCACUGGCAAGGAUAAGAAUGAUUAUGACUUGGAUGAAUUAGAGGAUCCCAUUGAUUUGUCUGGUCUGCAACUUCCUGGAAUGGAUGUUUUAGGUGCUCCUGAUGACUUUGAUGGUCAGGGACAGGACAUAGGUUCAUGGUUGAACAUAGAUGAUGAUGGAUUGCAAGAUCAUGACUUUCUGGGCCUUCAGAUUCCAAUGGAUGAUCUGUCAGAAUUGAAUAUGAUGGUUUGAAGCCAUCUUUGCUAUAGUUCCUAUUGAUUGCCGAUCUCUGGAGAAACAGGCUUCUGUGACCAUCAGUCCGUA